UACAGAGGGGGCAAGCGUUGUUCGGAAUUACUGGGCGUAAAGGGCGCGUAGGCGGCCUGUUAAGUCGAACGUGAAAUCCCCGGGCUCAACCCGGGAACUGCGUCCGAUACUGGCAGGCUUGAAUUCGGGAGAGGGAUGUGGAAUUACCAGGUGUAGCGGUGAAAUGGCGUAGGAAUAUCUGGAGGAACACCGGUGGCGGAAGGCACGGCGAUGCCUAGGACCGG
rnacentral:rRNA from 1 species